rnacentral:rRNA from 1 species
GACAGAGGGGGCAAGCGUUGCUCGGAAUUACUGGGCGUAAAGCGCACGUAGGCGGAUUGUUAAGUCAGGGGUGAAAUCCUGGAGCUCAACUCCAGAACUGCCUUUGAUACUGGCGAUCUCGAGUCCGGGAGAGGUGAGUGGAACUGCGAGUGUAGAGGUGAAAUUCGUAGAUAUUCGCAAGAACACCAGUGGCGAAGGCGGCUCACUGGCCCGGUACUGACGCUGAGGUGCGAAAGCGUGGGAGCAACAGGG